UGUGAAAAUGUUGAAAAUCAGCUUUAUGAUGAAGUCAUUAAGACAUGACCUUUAAUGGAUGUCCAUAUGUUUUAUUGGCUUAUCAAAAAUUAUGUCCACCCAUAAUGCAUGCAGGAAGGUGGCCAAAGUCAGAAUACUUCAGUCAUCUCAGAAUGUCCUGUUUUUAUUCAAGUUUUUAAAAGUAGAAGAAAGAGUAAUUCAGUGUGUCAAAAGUUGAAUGUCUCUUCUUUCUUGUUUUGAUGCCAACAUAUUCAUCAGCCAAAUGUUUGAAGUUGAGGUGUGAUCUACAUUGUAAUGGAUCACUGGCUCUGAGGACUUAGGAUGAACGCUGGCAAAACCAACGGACAAUUUCUGAGUGGGUUGUGACCAACAAAGAAUUUGAGGAACACAAACAAAUGGAAGCACACGUCUGUUAAGAAACAGGAACAGUCACUCCAGUUAAUCUUUAAUUAACUUAUGGCUUUAAAAGAUCUUGACUGAGUACUUACUAGAACAAUACCUAAAGGAGCUAAUGUCUCUGGUCCCAGAAAAUUCAAAGUGAUGGUAAAGAAAAAUUAUUGUUAGUGCAGAGGUUUACGUGACAGAUGGAAAAUAUUUCCCUAAUAUAGGUAGACUAGCAGAUUUAAGUUGAGUCAUGCAGCAACAUAUUUGAAGUCUGCUUUCCUAUUGUAUUACACUCAUUUCCCCUAAAAUAGAACAAUAAUGAUAGUUUCUUUGGACCUAUGGAAAGUAUGUACUUCUUCUAGAUUAUUCAGAAGGAGGUGAUAUGGUUUCUGGGGUAAUGCCACCUUGAAUAUUUAUCAAGCUUUAGAGUUUACAGAUUACCUUAAAAAUUUCUAUGGAAAUAUUGUUGUGUAGGAUAUCAUAAUGCCACUGAACUCUGAGGGAAUAUGUAUUCUUUUGGAUUGAAGUCUAGCAUAAUUAACAAUAGCGCUUUUAGACUGAAGAAAAGUUAUUUUCUGACUUGUGCAGCAUGGAUACUGCAAGAAACCCACAUCACAUAGGUCUGUAAACUUUCUGAAAGUUGGCAACAAAUUUGCCUUGAGCUUUCAAGUAGCCAAAGUUAUAAAAAGAAGAAAUCAGAUGAAACAUUUACAAUGUCCGUAAAAUAUAAUCAUGAUAAUUUCUUGAGAAAAGUAGCUUUUUUUUUUUCCACUGAGAGCCAUGGGGGAAAUUUCCCAAUGUUUUUAAGCAGGAGGUGUAUUUUUCUAUAGUAAAUGUGAAAGUGGUCUUUAUAGUAUAACCUGGAUGUCACCAGUUUGUGAAUGUAAACAAGUAUUCAAUUGCCCUUUAAUCAGAAUUUUGCUAGAUUGAUAGCCUCAUCCAUGUAACCACAUAAAUUCAGUUCCCCUUUCAAAAUCUCUUUUGAGGAAUAUUCCUGGAUUCAUCUCAAUUCUAAAAAUAUAUUUUCUUUGCCAUAAUAUUAUUUUUACAAAAACAAAUCUAGU
rnacentral:lncRNA from 1 species